rnacentral:rRNA from 1 species
UACGUAGGGGGGCUAGCGUUGUCCGGAAUCAUUGGGCGUAAAGAGCGUGUAGGCGGCCCCGGUAAGUCCGCUGUAAAAAGUCAAAGGCUCAACCUUUGAAUGUCAGUGGAUACUGCCGGGCUAGAGUCCGGAAGAGGCGAGUGGAACUCCUGGUGUAGCGGUGGAAUGCGCAGAUAUCAGGAAGAACACCAACGGCGAAGGCAGCUCGCUGGGACGGUACUGACGCUGAGACGCGAAAAGCGUGGGGGAGCGAACAGG